rnacentral:rRNA from 1 species
ACAGUACGUGAAACCGCAUGCAGGUAAACGGGUGGCGUCAAGCUGCAGGCUUGGAGGAUUCAGCUGGCUAGGAUGUCGUGAUGCGCCUGACGCGUCCAUCGGUCGGAAUAAGAUGUUGCAGUCCACUGGUAAACGGUGGGCCUGGUCGCAAGGCUGGGUUGUGUGUACCGAGCGGAAGCCGGAGCACGCUGUACGUCUGUUGGAUCGCCUAGUCAGUGCACUUUCUCUGUGGCCAACACCACGACCGGUGGUAUUGCCAGUCUGCUGUAGCCAAGUCGUGUCUAGUCGGUUCUUGUAAUCAACUGGGUGCGAUCACAGGCAAACUCAGUAAACGGCGUAGAGGUGUUUCGGCACUUUUGCGUGAUAUCGGCUACUGGUUGUCAACGGGCCUGCCUGAUGAUUGUUGUAACCGUCAUUGGGUGGUCCGGUGGGCUAUGGUGGUAAGAAUAACUGUGCAAGGCACCGGAUGUUUCGAUCUCAAAUGCAGCCUGCAUCCACGUUGCAAGUGGUGUGGGGUGCCGUUGCAGCCUGCCUAUGUAAGGUCUGAUUGUCGUGUCGCCUGCGCAAAGUAGGCCCGGCGAUGGCCUCGCGUAGGAUGGGUUGUGGAUGGUGCCUCCUGUGUGGGUUGUUGUGGGUCAAAUA